rnacentral:rRNA from 1 species
AUUGAACGCUGGCGGCGUGCUUAACACAUGCAAGUCGAUCGGUAACGCGGGGGCAACCCUGGCGACGAGAGGCGGACGGGUGAGGAACGCUUGGGAAUCUGCCCUUCAGCGGGGGACAACACGGGGAAACUCGUGCUAAUACCGCAUACGCUCCACGGAGGAAAGCCGGGGACCGCAAGGCCUGGCACUGAAGGAUGAGCCCAAGUCGGAUUAGCUAGUUGGCGGGGUAAUGGCCCACCAAGGCGACGAUCCGUAGCUGGUCUGAGAGGACGAUCAGCAACACUGGGACUGAGACACGGCCCAGACUCCUACGGGAGGCAGCAGUGGGGAAUAUUGGACAAUGGGGGAAACCCUGAUCCAGCGACGCCGCGUGGGUGAAGAAGGCCUGCGGGUUGUAAAGCCCUUUCGGUAGGGACGAAAGCUCUCGACCUAACACGUCGGGAGGUUGACUUAACCUACAAAAGAAGCACCGGCUAACUCUGUGCCAGCAGCCGCCGUAAAAC